rnacentral:misc_RNA from 1 species
CGGUCUGCGUCAGUGGCGCUGCCGUUCUUCGCUUCAUUUUCCCUUUUUGCUUUCGUCAUCUGUUCCACGAGGGAGUCUACGGUGACCAUAGAAAGCAUCACGCAUAAACACGCAUACGCCCACACCCACAUAGAGGGAAAGCACCGUGCACGAGCCUACCGCGAGGGUCAUCCUAUUGCCGCUCUUGUCAUAUCCGUGCCACAUUCAUAGAUAAACGCUUCACGCGCACAAACCGGCCGGCUUGCAGUCUUGAUCUGCUUGCCUGUCGCGGCAGUGCAUCAACGUUCUGCAUGCACACAUAAGCAUUCAUAGAAGGUUACCAAGAAAGGCAACUCGAGCGCGUCACGAGUGUUGCCGUUGGCCCUGCCACACCACCGGUGUCUCCGACUUUGUCAAGCUCAUCGCGGCACCGCCACAUUGAUUCUCUACUUCCCUCUCCUCCCCCCUUCCCCGGCCCCCGUCACCUGCUCCGGCAUCCAUGACGUCUCUGGCUGGCGGCACCAUCACCGUCACCGUGCCGAGUUUUGUAACGGUGACGUUGACACCGGCACCGGACAUCAACGUGAGGGGCGCCUCCACGGCGCCAGGAUCACCUUUCGCAGAGGUGAGGCCCAAGACGCUGCGUGUGCCAAUCACCGCCUCGAUGACGGUGCGUGAGCUGGCCAAGGGUGCCAUGAUGCGCUACAUACUCUCCCUGCGUCGUACUGCGAAGGAGGCGGACGCUGUCGUGCGUCGACUCUGCCGCUCUGGGAUCGCCGUCACAGAUGUGUACGUUUUGGUCCCCAGCAACGCCGCGCGGUCGAUCACGCUCGAGGAUGACGAGACAGGCAACGGCGGCAGGACCGGCGAGCCGCCCGCUCACAUGAUCGAGCUUCUCUCCAACGACUGCGUGGUGCAGGUGGUGCAGGUGAUGAAGGAGACAGUGCACAUGCGCUUCCGUGCGGGAAACGGUGCUUCAGCGAAGAAGAGGGAAUCCUCGUCGGUGCAGGCGGCUGAUGCCACAGAAGCGCAGAGCACCGAGGAGACGUUCAACUCAAUCAGCAUCGCUGCACCACUUGCUGUUGUUGCCGUCGGUGGCGCUGCCUGUGACGGUCCAACCCUGCCUAGUGGAGACGAGCCUAUAAAGAACGCAGCGGCUUUCGGCUGUGCCUCGGACGCGGUCUCAGACACUGCCCAAGAGAGCAGCAGCACGCCGGUCGCUGCUAGGCAGAGCAGCAAGAAGACGGCGCACAACGUCGACAGCACCGGGGCGGACAGCAGCUCGGAAGAGGAGGAGGAAAAAGAAGCGUGGCAGGACAUUGCGCGGUCGAUUGCGACGCUGCGCGAACGCGAGGCGCAACGCAUUCGAUGGGGCCCAGCUGCGCACAAGCACUUCGCCGCCAACUACGUGUCAAGCCCAGAGAAGAUUAUGAUUGGCCGGUUCAAGUGCGGCCGACGCCCACCGCCGGUGGUGCAGCUGCAUCCCACGCAAACCUCGUCCUCGGCAUCGUCGCAGGGCUCCGUGUCUGAAGUGCCGUCGCCGAGGUCUUCGGGGGACAGCAGAGGCACCACCGAAACCGGCGGUGACCGUCGGCCACCGCGACCGGUGAUCGCUCAAGAGGGCAGCUCCAAAGAACAUCUCCGGUACCAGCGACACGAGGCCAGGCAAUCGCCACAACUUCCCAGCAAGCAUUACCGCUGCGACACUUACUCUUAUCCGCGCAGCGAGAGCAGCAGCAUCAAGCGCGCGCACGAGGUGUUGACCCCGUCCGCCGCGACGGAGUCCCAGCACCUCCAGGUUACAGCUGCCCCAUCAGUUCCCGCUGUUGAGGAGAUGCACGUAGCGACUGAAGUGACGACAGCGGAGCGACAGCAAGUAUCCCCCAGUAGCGCGCGACAGGAUGCUCUUCUCUGCUCCACGGAGACCCCGGUGGACGCUGCAGCGCGCUUGGGCACGCCGCCGGGGGCCCCCAGAACCGUUGCGAAGCCGGCUGUAGCGGUUGUGGCUCGCCAGCUCAGCUUUGACGACGACGGCGACACCGCCCCGAAGCGCAGCCCGGCAGUGGCCGAUUACUCAGCCGUUACCCCACUAGGCGGUGUACGGCGCGUGAUUCAGGGGUAGAAGCAAUGAUGCGUGAGCGGGGGGCAUUGGUACUGUAGCGAAGCGUUUCGCAGGCUUUUGUUUCCCUUGCCCCCUUCGUUCUUGUCGUGCCUCGACGUGCUCAGGCUUGGCGCAGGUCUUUCGGCUCACAUCAAACGAUUUCGUCCCAGCUGCCUUCGUCUUUUUCACCCCACUCUCCCCUUUCCUGCGCGGGCUUUGCCUAGGUUGACCUGUGCACCGUGUGUGCAAGUCCCUGCACAUAAGGUAUCCACGCGUGUGCCGACGCGCUGCCUUCUGUUUGCCUCCUCCGUUUUAUCUGUAGAGGGUGUCGUGCCGCUUCGCCGCCGACCUCGACGGCUCUUCCAUUGCGAUCGGCUUGCCGAUGUGUUGUGUACGCGUUUCGCUUUUUAUGGAGUCGUGAGAGGUGUGCCCGCACAUGACGUCAACCCCCCAACCGACCGGGCGACAUGUUUUUCUCCGGUGACCGUCUUGUGGCGGUGCUGGCACAGGAAUGAGCGAAAUAUGCGACUAAAAAGAAAAAAACACACAAAGCCUAAGCUGCGCUGCGGACCGUUCCAUUCGUCUUCGGGUGGAACGAUGAGGGAGAGCAGAUCAAGCCUUCAUGGUGGUGCGCGCGCCGCGCCCGUCUUUCUCUCCUUCUAUGUGCCUUUGCCCUCUCCGGUCGGAGGAGCUGCGCACAGGCGUCUUCCGUGAAGGGAUGGCGGGCGUGCACACGCGACUACGGACACUGCCCACAAGCAUCGUGCCGCUACGCUGAGGUUCUUGGAGGCGACGCCGGCCGCUUUCCAUAGGCUGAGGAAGGAUGCGCAUUAUUCGCCACACUGUGAAAAAGAAGAGGGUGGGGGGGGUGCGACACGUCUAGCUGCGACGCGAUACACGCCACUCCACAUGUGGGUGGGGACUGACCACGUCAUCGAUCUGCCCAUUGGUUUCUUCUAGCGAAUCUUUUCGCCUCCGAUCACCCAUCUUCUACACUUUAUAAGGCCCCCCCCCCCACAUACGCAG